rnacentral:rRNA from 1 species
AUGUGGUUGCACAGCAGACAACAUGAUGACACUACAAGUAUUAAAAUCGAGGAGUUAUUAGUUUCAGUUUUCAGGCUUGGCAUAGCCUGCUCCAAGGCACAGCCUCGAGACCGAGCAAUGACGAGGGAUGCAGCGGCAGACAUGCAUGCAAUCAGAGAUGCAUACCUCAAGUUUAUAGGGGAGCAUGGAGCAGAAAGAGAAGCCUCUACUCGGGAAAUUCAGAAUAGCUUUGAAUAA